UACGUAUGGACCGAGCGUUGUCCGGAAUCAUUGGGCGUAAAGGGUACGUAGGUGGCCUAGUAAGUUAGAAGUGAAAUAAUAUAGCUCAACUAUAUAAAGCUUUUAAAACUGUUAGGCUUGAGAGAUGAAAGGGAAAGUGGAAUUCCUAGUGUAGCGGUGAAAUGCGCAGAUAUUAGGAAGAAUACCGGUGGCGAAGGCGACUUUCUGGUCAUCAUCUGACGCUGAGGUACGAAAGCGUGGGUAGCAAACAGG
rnacentral:rRNA from 1 species